rnacentral:rRNA from 1 species
UACAUGGGGUGCAAACGUUGCUCGGACUUAUUGGGCGUACAGAGCUCGUAGGCGGCUUGUCGCGUCGGCUGUGAAAACCUGGGGCUCAACCCCGGGCCUGCAGCCGAUACGGGCAAGCUAGAAUUCGGUAGGGGAGACUGGAAUUCCUGGUGUAGCGGUGAAAUGCGCAGAUAUCAGGAAGAACACCCGUGGCUAAGGCGGUUCUCUAGUACGGUACUGACGCUGAGACGCGAAAGCGUGGGGAGCAAACAGG